rnacentral:lncRNA from 1 species
CUCAUUAAUAUCUGGGUUACUUUGCUCGUCUCUAUUUAAUAAAUAAUGAAAAAACAUGAGACCUACCACUAGAAAAGCUCUCAGUGGUUGCAUGUAAUUGACAGGAAGCUUACUGAUCCUAAACACACACAUUUAAUUAUUCUCUGUCAUCCUGUCUUGCCAAGUAAAAGAUCAGGAGAAGUGGAGGUCUUCUGUGUGAUCACAGAAGGCUCAGAAGAGAGAACGCAGCAGUCAGCUGGUGGCUCAGCGCUGUGACACCUAAAGGUUUGCUCAAGCACUGCGUGCCGCUGGCCUUGGGCCCGUUUAUGCCCCUCCUCACUAAGGCGGCUGAAGGCACGUGUGGAAGCCACCAGGUAGCAGCACUCCAUCCGCGCCCAACUGUGCGAAGCUUGCAGGUGCAAUGCGAGCACCGCACGGCCAUUGGCUACUGAGCUGCGCUGCGCGCGGUGAUUAGCAAGCUGAAGCGAGCAGUGGGACGGGCUGCCCUUCCCUUCGAGGCUGACCCUUCAGUCGAAGGAGGAAGCAGAAUUUCUGGCUGGCAGCGGCCCCGGGCUUCAGGUAGAGGAAGUUUCCUUGGUGCUAGUGUGGAAUUCUUCACUAAAGAGACAAAAUCUGCCAUGUUCUUCUCAUGAACACAGCAACUGCACAAGGAAGACAGUGAGAACUAUUGCUCCUUCAUUAAGCAUCUUGAAGCCUAAAUCAGUCCACCUCUGCUACAGUACAGUACAGGGCAAUGUGCUGCAGAAUUCCAAUAGAGGAGGUUAAAUGCAAACAUGGAGGCAAAGGAGAGAGCAUCAAGGACUGCCUUCACGUGGCCAGGUGCUAAUUCUUCAGCUGCAUUGCAUCAUGUUGGCUACUAAGCUGUCUGUCUGCCCAAGGAUGAGUUUUCCUUGUCUAUGCUGCUAGCUGCUGUUCUUAGAAUCAUAGAAUGGUUUUGAAAAUAUCGAUUUUAUUACACAGAAAAUACUAUUAUUUUCCUUUGUUUUUAUAGACCACCAAAUGCGUAACUAUUACCUUUUUUUUUGUGAAUUAUUUCCCUUGCAGAGAUUUCAGGGAUUUUUUUUUUUUUUCUUUUAUGAUGUCAGUUAGCUCAUCGCUGAUGCUCAGUUACAUUUCUUAUGAAGCAGACAGUGAAAUCCUAUCUAUGAAACAAUUAAUGUUCAAUACUUUUAACACUUCCUAAAGAUGAAAAAUUGCCUUCCGUAGGCUUAUAUGGACCCUUGUAGCUUUAUAAAUGAUAUUUUCUUGUCAUGAAUGUGAAGUAAUUACACAAGGAAAAAAAAACAUAAAGAAGAUUGUAAAGCUUCUUUUUUGGGGGGAGUGGUGGGGGAAGCUGAAAGGGAAGGUGGAAAAGCAGUUGUCUGCAGUUUGAAGGCUUAGUACUGCAAGUUCUGUUUCUCUUAUCACUUAAGGUUUGCC